rnacentral:tRNA from 1 species
CACUAAAUAGCUUAAUACAAAGCAUUAAUCUUUUAAGUUAAUGAUGAGCUCUUGCUCUUUAGUGG